rnacentral:tRNA from 2 species
GGCCCGGUGUCAGAGUGGUUAUGUAGUGGACUGCAAAUCCUCGUACGGCGGUUCGAUUCCGUCCCGGGCCUCCA